GACGAACGCUGGCGGCGUGCCUAAUACAUGCAAGUAGAACGCUGAAGGAGGAGCUUGCUCUUCUGGAUGAGUUGCGAACGGGUGAGUAACGCGUAGGUAACCUGCCUGGUAGCGGGGGAUAUCUAUUGGAAACGAUAGCUAAUACCGCAUAACAGUAGAUGUUGCAUGACAUUUGCUUAAAAGGUGCAAUUGCAUCACUACCAGAUGGACCUGCGUUGUAUUAGCUAGUUGGUGGGGUAACGGCUCACCAAGGCGACGAUACAUAGCCGACCUGAGAGGGUGAUCGGCCACACUGGGACUGAGACACGGCCCAGACUCCUACGGGAGGCAGCAGUAGGGAAUCUUCGGCAAUGGACGGAAGUCUGACCGAGCAACGCCGCGUGAGUGAAGAAGGUUUUCGGAUCGUAAAGCUCUGUUGUAAGAGAAGAACGAGUGUGAGAGUGGAAAGUUCACACUGUGACGGUAUCUUACCAGAAAGGGACGGCUAACUACGUG
rnacentral:rRNA from 1 species